rnacentral:lncRNA from 1 species
ACCCACCAGUCAGAGAUACUCGACAUUUCAAAACAUCUAAAGUAUGAAGCUCUGAAAAUUUUCUCACAUUUCGAGAUACUUGUUGAGCCACUCAAUUGCCCUGGAAAUGUUGCCUUGUGCCUUUGCCAUGGCCACCCUCCUCUUGUGAAUUAGCUGCAUGAUAAAAUUAUAACAUAAGGGUCCGUCAUUAAACAAACUCUUUUAUUCACCUCUGCUACAAAAACCACACACAUUUUACUCAAGAAUGAUGAGACUUAUUCCGACAGAAAUGCAUGCUCCCUUACUAGAAACAGGGAACUUUUAUUGGAAAAUAUAAAAGGCACAAAUAAGAGGACAAGGCAUCCACUAACACUAGAAAAAAGCACAUAAGGCUAGACCUUACACGAGUUCCCUAAAAUCUAAUUAGGACAGAAGCUUAAAAUCUUAGUAGACAUCCAAAGAGAAGCAGAAAAUAUAAUCCUAUGGCACUCAAACUUAGUCUGAUGCCAGACCCUAAAAAAUUCUACCAUUCAUUGCUAGCCAUAAAAACCGAAGGACAGCUAAAUUGUAGACUUCCAACUAAUUUUAGCUUCUCUAGCCAAACCAAAACCACCAUGAUACUGAGACAUCAUGGGAAAACAGGUUCCAUAAACCACACAAUCAAUCUCUAAUUCCAAUGAAAACUUGGUCAAACACCUCAAGGCCAACUCAGAAACAAAACACAGUGCAAAAUCGAUUCAACAUCACUAUGGCACUAGAAACACCGUGAAGGAGACAAAUGGAUGCACAGUCUCUUCUUUUGGAUAAUGUCUGUGGUGUUUUAACUUACCAUGAGCCACUAACCAAGCAAAAACUGCAACGGUGGUUGGGAUACAAAACUUCCAAAUGAAUUGAACUUAAUAGGAAGGGAUUGGGGAAAUUCGGAAGAAUCACUAAGGAAGAGAUAAAUUGAUUUUGGUAAGGAGAAUGACCAGAAGAAUCCAGACCCAAACCCUCUCAUUGUUUAUAUCAACCCAAUUUGGGAAACCCUCUAAUUCAUUGAGAAAAAUAAUUAGAUCUUCCAACUGUUCCAUCAUGAGACACUGAUAAGAAACAAAGCCCCUAUUAGGCCCCUAUUUUCUAAAACUCAUUUUUCCUCAAACUCAUUCUCAACCAUACAUUUCAUGGGACUCACAACUUUUAGCAACUUUAUAACCACACAUUUUAUCAACUUCUAUUAAAAUAUAUUAAAGAAGGAAAAAAAAA